rnacentral:rRNA from 1 species
CCCAGACUCCUACGGGAGGCAGCAGUGGGGAAUAUUGGACAAUGGGGGGAACCCUGAUCCAGCGACGCCGCGUGAGUGAAGAAGUAUUUCGGUAUGUAAAGCUCUCUCAGCAGGGAAGAAGAAAUGACGGUACCUGACUAAGAAGCCCCGGCUAACUACGUGCCAGCAGCCGCGGUAAUACGUAGGGGGCAAGCGUUAUCCGGAUUUACUGGGUGUAAAGGGAGCGUAGACGGCUUUGCAAGUCUGAAGUGAAAGCCCAGGGCUCAACCUUGGGACUGCUUUGGAAACUGUAGAGCUUGAGUACCGGAGGGGUAAGCGGAAUUCCUAGUGUAGCGGUGAAAUGCGUAGAUAUUAGGAGGAACACCAGUGGCGAAGGCGGCUUACUGGACGGUAACUGACGUUGAGGCUCGAAAGCGUGGGGAGCAAACAGGAUUAGAUACCCUAGUACC